rnacentral:rRNA from 1 species
CCUACGGGGGGCAGCAGUGAGGAAUAUUGGUCAAUGGCCGGAAGGCUGAACCAGCCAAGCCGCGUGAAGGACGAAGGUGCCAAGCAUUGUAAACUUCUUUUGUCAAGGGACAAAAUCAGGCUCGAGAGCCUGACCGAGGGUACUUGAAGAAAAAGCAUCGGCUAACUCCGUGCCAGCAGCCGCGGUAAUACGGAGGAUGCGAGCGUUAUCCGGAUUUAUUGGGUUUAAAGGGUGCGUAGGCGGAAUGCCAAGUCAGCGGUAAAAUCGCGGGGCUCAACCUCGCUCCGCCGUUGAAACUGGCGUUC